UCAGGCGAAGUCAUUGAUCCUAUGCUGCCUAGAAAAGCCCAGCAGCGAGUUGACAUGGUGCCCGUACCCCAAACCAACACAGGUGGACAGGUAGAGCAUACCAAGGCGAGUGGGAUAACUAUGGUUAAGGAACUCGGCAAAUUGCCUCCGUAACUUCGGGAGAAGGAGGACCCCAGUAGCGUGAUGAGACUUGCUCUCUGAGCGUGAAGGGGUGGCACAAAAUUGAGGGAAGCGACUGUUUACCAAAAACACAGCAGCGUGCUAAGCCGUAAGGCGCUGUACACGCUGUGACUCCUGCCCGGUGCUGGAAGGUUACGGGGAUGGGUUAGUCCUUCGGGACGAAGCUCUGAACCUAAGCCCCAGUAAACGGCGGCCGUAACUAUAACGGUCCUAAGGUAGCGAAAUUCCUUGUCGGGUAAGUUCCGACCUGCACGAAUGGAGUAACGACUUCCCUACUGUCUCAACCAUAGACCCAGCGAAAUUGAAGUACGAGUAAAGAUGCUCGUUAGCUGCAGAAGGACGGAAAGACCCCGUGGACCUUUACUAUAACUUGAUGUUGUGUUUUGUCAUAUGUUGUGUAGGAUAGGUGGGAGACUUGGAAGCAUGGACGCUAGUCUGUGUGGAGUCAUCGUUGAAAUACCACCCUGCAUAUGGUGAGGCUCUAACCUAGACUCGUUAUCCGGGUUGGGGACAGCGUCAGGCGGGUAGUUUAACUGGGGCGGUUGCCUCCUAAAGAGUAACGGAGGCGCCCAAAGGUUCCCUCAGCCUGGUUGGCAAUCAGGCGUUGAGUGCUAUGGCAAAAGGGAGCUUGACUGCGAGACCUACAAGUCGAGCAGGAGCGAAAGCUGGGCAUAGUGAUCCGGCGGUUGCGUGUGGAAGCGCCGUCGCUCAACGGAUAAAAGGUACCCCGGGGAUAACAGGCUAAUCUUGCCCAAGCGUCCAUAGCGACGGCAAGGUUUGGCACCUCGAUGUCGGCUCAUCGCAUCCUGGGGCUGAAGCAGGUCCCAAGGGUUGGGCUGUUCGCCCAUUAAAGCGGUACGCGAGCUGGGUUCAGAACGUCGUGAGACAGUUCGGUCCCUAUCCUCUGCAGCCGGAGGUGAAUUGAGGAAAGCUGUCCUAGUACGAGAGGACCGGGACGGACGCAGCUCUCGUGUGCCAGUUGUCCUGCCAAGGGCAUGGCUGGUUAGCGACCUGCGGAAAGGAUAACCGCUGAAAGCAUCUAAGCGGGAAGCCUCUUCCAAGAUGAAUUCACCCACAGGGUUAACCUGGUAAGGCCCGUGGUAGACCACCACGUUGAUAGGCCGGAAGUGUAAGCGUGGCAACACGUUCAGCUGACCGGUACUAAUCGGCCGAGGGCUUGAGCG
rnacentral:rRNA from 1 species